ACCGCUCGGCGGGCCCGCAAAGGGGCCUCAGCAGCUCGGUGGCCCCGCAGAGCGUGGGGACCCAGGGUGGGGGUGCGAGGAGAGGCGCGCGCCCCAGCGGCCGUCGGGGGCGGAGGGGGAGGGGAGAGAGCCGGUCAAGGAGGGGCCCUCCCGCGCGCGCGUCCUCCGCGCGCCCCCACCCCGUACAGCGCCGGGCUCUCCACGCCCAGACCCUGCUACUCCACUGCGGUCCGACCCCGGCCCCUAGUCCGGGGAUUGGCGCACCGCGGGAGGUAGGGAGCCGCCCCGCCCCCCUGUCAACAGAAGCCCCGCCCCAGGCGGCGGAAGCCCCGCCCUCUGUCAGGAGAAGCCCCGCCUUCCCAGGGCUCGAAAUGGCCCCGCCCUUUGCCGGCGACCGCUCCGCCCACUGUCGACGGAAGCCUAGUCUUCUCUCGGGUCAGCACAGAAGGCAGCCCCGCCUUCCUUGCACUCCGCCUUCCUAAUGUCACUGCUGGAUCGUGAGAGGCCGCAGCUCCACCCGCUGACACCGAAAGUUCAGUUCAGCCGCAAUUGGAACCGCCGAGUAAGGCGGAGCCGCCCUCUGUCCCUGAGCCGCCCUCCUCCCCUCGAACAGCCACUCUCUCUUCCCGAGACUUCUUUCCGAGUCCAGGGCUUCACAUCUCGACGGCUUCCAGGGAACCAGCCCUGCAGCGGGGUCAGCGAGUGCCCGGGCUUUCGGGAACACCGCCCGGCGUCGCCGACCCUCUCCACUCACUUUCCCUUUCCCCCGCACCGCCGUCAGAACGAGGAGGAACAGAACCAAAGCGGAGAGCGGCAACUCACCCUCCAGCCGCUCCACACGCCGGGUCCUGGACGCUCGAGCGCUCCUGGGCCCCUUGACGUUCACUCCCCACCCCCAUCCCAGUCGCGGACCCUUUGUGCAGAGCUCCGCUGAGCCACAUUAAUCCUAAAAGCACAGCAGAGCUCCGCUGAGCCACAUUAAUCCUAAAAGAUGCAGUUGUUUCAAGUGGAAAUAUGAUUUUUUUUUUUUUUUGAGACGGAGUCUCGCGCUGUCGCUCAGGCUGGAGUGCGAUGGCGCGAUCUCGGCUCACUGCAACCUCCGCCUCCCGGGUUCAAGCGUUUCUUCUGCCUCAGCCUCCCAAGUAGCUGGGAUUACAGGCGCCCAUCACCUGACGCUGGGCUAAUUUUUGUAUUUUUAGUAGAGACGGUUUCACCAUGUUAGCCAGGCUGGUCUCGAACUCCUAACCUCAAGUGAUCCGCUAGCCUCGGCCUCCCAUAGUGUUGGGAUUAUAGGAGUGAGACACCGCGCCUGCCCGUGGAAUCUGUUGAAAUCAGUGUUCUACAAUGUUCUUUUUAUUUAUAGGUUUCAUCUUAGAAUCCUAAAACUUGUGUAGGAUGAGGCUUAAUCUUAUAAGCAAAGGUAUUCAACCCUGCCACAUUCCACACCCUGUAUUUACAACAAAAAAUACAACACUGCUUUACUCCUCUGGAAUUAAAUUCCUAAUGC
rnacentral:lncRNA from 1 species